rnacentral:rRNA from 1 species
UGAUCUAGCCAUGCCGCGUGAGUGAUGAAGGCCUUAGGGUCGUAAAGCUCUUUCGCCUGUGAUGAUAAUGACAGUACCAAGUAAAGAAACCCCGGCUAACUCCGUGCCAGCAGCCGCGGUAAUACGGAGGGGGUUAGCGUUGUUCGGAAUUACUGGGCGUAAAGCGCACGUAGGCGGAUUGGAAAGUUGGGGGUGAAAUCCCGGGGCUCAACCCCGGAACUGCCUCCAAAACUGUCAGUCCUAAAGUUCGAAAAGAGGGUAGUUGAAAUUCCAAGUGUAGAGGUGAAAUUCGUAGAUAUUUGGAGGAACACCAGUGGCGAAGGCGGCUCACUGGCUCGAUACUGACGCUGAGGUGCGAAAGUGUGGGGAGCAAACAGGAUUAGAUACCCUGGUAGUCCACACCGUAAACGAUGAAUGCCAGUCGUCGGGCAGUAUACUGCUCGGUGACACACCUAACGGAUUAAGCAUUCCGCCUGGGGAGUACGGUCGCAAGAUUAAAACU